rnacentral:lncRNA from 1 species
UUAAGAUGAAGUAGACUUUUUUUAAGAUGAAGUUUCAUAGACUUGCCAAUUAACAUUGGUUUCCUUCUGUCCUAAGAGCUGUACAAACAUAGUGGAAGAAGCCAUCCCUUCCCUGAAGGUGUCCUCUGAUGAUCUAAAACCAGAAGGAGCCGAUGGAGAUGUACUAAAACAGGUCUUGCAGGAUCUCUAAUCCAUCUCAGCUGCGUUCGUCUUUUAAAUACUUCUUCAAAGUCCACAUUUUGCUGCAAUGCUUGAAGAAAACACGUUUCCAAAGGUACGUAGCUUGAUUGGUCAUUGUCUGUGAAUUCUGGAAAUUGUGAAUUCUAUGAAUUCUGGAAAUUGUGAACUGAUGGUGCUGAA